GAUGAACGCUAGCGGCAGGCCUAACACAUGCAAGUCGAGGGGUAUAAGUCUUCGGACUUUGAGACCGGCGCACGGGUGCGUAACGCGUAUGCAAUCUACCUUGUACAGAGGGAUAGCCCAGAGAAAUUUGGAUUAAUACCUCAUAGCAUAUUUGAAUGGCAUCAUUUAAAUAUUAAAGUUCCAACGGUACAAGAUGAGCAUGCGUCCCAUUGGUUAGUUGGUGUGGUAACGGCACACCAAGACGAUGAUGGGUAGGGGUUCUGAGAGGCGGAUUCCCAACAAGAGUACUUGGACACGGACCAGACUCCGACGUGAGGCAGCAGUGAGGAAUAUUAGUCAAUGGAGGCAACUCUGAACCAGCCAUGCCGCGUGCAGGAUGACGGUCCUAUGGAUUGUAAACUGCUUUUAUACGGGAAGAAAAAGAGUUACGUGUAACUUAUUGACGGUACCGUAAGAAUAAGGAUCGGCUAACUCCGUGCCAGCCGCCGCGGUAA
rnacentral:rRNA from 1 species